AUGACCUGGGCUCUUCUCCUCCUCAGCCUCCUCAGUCAGGGCCCAGGAACCUGGGCCCAAAAUGUCCUAACUCAACCUCCCUCAGUGUCUGGGACUCAGGGACAGACAGUCACCAUUUCCUGUACAGGAACCAGCGAUUACAUUGGGGGAUAUAAUGCUGUCUCCUGGUACCAGCAGCAGGAUGGCACAGCCCCUCAAACUGCUGAUUUAUUAUUUCAACAAUCAGGCAACAGGGAUCCCUGAUCGCUUCUCUGGCUCCAAGUCUGGCAACACAGCGACCCUGACCAUCUCUGGGCUCAAGCCUGAGGAUGAGGCAGAUUAUUACUGUAGCUCAUUUACAAGUAGUAGCACUUUCCACAGUAGCUGCUGUACACAGGGUAGUGAACCAAAAACCGCUGAAAGUUCCCUUGAGGUCCUUCUCUCCGAAACUUGGAGGGCAUUUUUUACUUAA